rnacentral:rRNA from 1 species
GGACUACCGGGGUAUCUAAUCCCGUUCGCUACCCUAGCUUUCGCGCCUCAGCGUCAGAUGAGAUCCAGUCCGCCGCUUUCGCCACCGGCGUUCCUUCCGAUAUCUACGCAUUUCACCGCUCCACCGGAAGUUCCGCAGACCCCUAUCUCCCUCGAGACUCGCAGUAUCAAAGGCUGUUCUCCGGUUGAGCCGGAGGAUUUCACCCCUGACUUACAAGCCCGCCUACGCGCCCUUUAAGCCCAGUGAAUCCGAACAACGUUCGCACGGUUCGUCUUACCGCGGCUGCUGGCAC